GACGAACGCUGGCGGCGUGCUUAACACAUGCAAGUCGAACGGAAAGGCCCUGCUUUUGUGGGGUGCUCGAGUGGCGAACGGGUGAGUAACACGUGAGUAACCUGCCCUUGACUUUGGGAUAACUUCAGGAAACUGGGGCUAAUACCGGAUAGGAGCUCCUGCUGCAUGGUGGGGGUUGGAAAGUUUCGGCGGUUGGGGAUGGACUCGCGGCUUAUCAGCUUGUUGGUGGGGUAGUGGCUUACCAAGGCUUUGACGGGUAGCCGGCCUGAGAGGGUGACCGGGCACAUUGGGACUGAGAUACGGCCCAGACUCCUACGGGGGGCAGCAGUGGGGAAUAUUGCACAAUGGGCGGACGCCUGAUGCAGCAACGCCGCGUGCGGGAUGACGGCCUUCGGGUUGUAAACCGCUUUCGCCUGUGACGAAGCGUGAGUGACGGUAAUGGGUAAAGAAGCACCGGCUAACUACGUG
rnacentral:rRNA from 1 species